GAUGGAAGAACGCAGCGAAAUGCGAUAAGUAGUGUGAAUUGCAGAAUUCAGUGAAUCAUCGAAUCUUUGAACGCACAUUGCGCCCCUUGGUAUUCCAUGGGGCAUGCCUGUUCGAGCGUCAUUUGUACCUUCAAGCUCUGCUUGGUGUUGGGUGUUUGUCCUUUCUCUUGCAGAGGGACUCGCCUUAAAGUAAUUGGCAGCCAGUGUUUUGGUUUUGAAGCGCAGCACAAGUCGCGAUUCAAGGCUAUACGCCAGCUUCCACAAGCCUUUUUUUCACUUUUGACCUCGGAUCAGGUAGGGAUACCCGCUGAACUUAAGCAUAUCAAUAAGCGGAGGA
rnacentral:misc_RNA from 1 species